AUACGGAGGGGGCAAGCGUUGUUCGGAAUUACUGGGCGUAAAGCGCGCGUAGGCGGGCUGGUUAGUUGGGGGUGAAAUCCCAGGGCUUAACCCUGGAACUGCCUUCAAUACUGCCAGUCUUGAGACCGAGAGAGGUGAGUGGAAUUCCUAGUGUAGAGGUGAAAUUCGUAGAUAUUAGGAAGAACACCAGUGGCGAAGGCGGCUCACUGGCUCGGUACUGACGCUGAGGUGCGAAAGCGUGGGGAGCAAACAGGAUUAGAAACCCGUGUAGUCC
rnacentral:rRNA from 1 species